UACAUCUACAUGAAAUUUUUAUACUGAUGUCCAGCCAUAAAAGCACUAUAUUGUAUAGUAAAUCCGGUUUGUAAGGUAAUUAUAUACGCAAACGUGUAAUUAUUUCACUCCUAUAUAUGAGCCGCGCCAUGGGAAAACCAACAUAGUGAGUUUGCGACCAGCAUGGAUCCAGACCAGCUUGCACAUCCGCUUUCAAAGUUCAUGCAAUUAGAGAAACUGUAAGUGAACAGCAUGGAUCCUGACCAGACUGCGCGGAUGCGCAGGCUUGUCUGGAUCCAUGCUGGUCGCAAAGCCACUAUGUAAGUUUUCUUAUGGCGCGGCUCAUAUGUAAUUGUGACCUAACGCUAUUGAGAUAUCGAUACAAAAUGUCAGUAUGAACAGAAUAACAAAAUUGGUCAUAUGUAUAGAGAAAACGUGUGUUCUAAAUCUUUUUAUUAAAUAUCCAUUAAAAAGUCGACUUAAAAUUACGCAAACAGGACUUCAUUAAGUAAGAUCAGUAAAUAAUGAAAACCAUUUGAUGUACCACGCCCUAUUUUAUUCGAUUUGCAAUAUUAAAGAUAUGUAAAAAUAUUAUCUUAAAUUACAGACAUUAAAUUAGGGCCGCGUUUAAGCAAACAGUACAAGUUAAUUCUCAAAUUAUUUUUCACUGCAAAAUAGGGUUUGAUAGAUGCAGCCUACUUUUUAAUGACAUUGAAGUACGUCCUUGUAUUAAUUAGAUUAUAGGCCUAUCACACGUAUAAUAUAAUAGUUCGCCGUAAUGUUAUUUUAUUUUCUUGAGAGACUUAAAAAAUUCCAGUGUAUUUUCCGACCUUUCUAAAAUUGCCUUAGCACAUGAUCCAUAUGAAAAUAACUAAUCAAAUAUAAAAUAACACAAACUCUCAUGAACUAACUUGAUCUAUUAAAUGCGGUUUUAAUAAAAACAGAUGUUUCACAUUGUUUUCAAAUGAUUUGUAGACAUCAUUAACAAGUGUUUUAAUAUUAGGCCCCAUUUGUUUUGUUUAAUGAGAUUAUUUAAGGAAAUUACUUCAAUCUGUUAAUUUAUAAUUUACGUUCUCUGCGAGGAGAUUGGUAACUAACUAACUAUAUGUGUUUUCCCUUGUUUUCUUGCUAUCAGAAAAGAACCCCAGCCAAUUAUAAAAAAAACUUAAAGAAAUUACUCAAGAGCGCGUAAGGGUAAUAUCAUAUUUUGAGACCUUUAUCGCACGUGUUUAACCUUUAGCCUGCUGGUGGCAAGUGAUUCUGCCAAAAUCAGCCUGCACGGAUCAUAGUCUGCACUGUUCGCUAUUCAGUCAAUAAAUUUUAAGUAAACACCCCUCUGAAUCAUAAGUGGUACUGCCCAAAUUUAAUGAUGGACCGGUCUAUUUUCGAAAUUUCGCAGGGUAAGCGUUAAACAUACGAAGCUGAAUCAGAGAAUACUAGGAAAAUGAAAUUAAUGGGGAUAAUAAGCCAGCUACUCGCUAGGUGGCGAUGGUAAAAUAAGGGGUAAACAAUGCUGACCCAGAUUCUUAUCUCAAAUGGAUUCUUAGUGGACAUCAAAAUAUUUUGGAUGGAAAGUUAUACAAUUACAGAGAGAAUUAAUAAAAAGAAGGGCAUCAGUCAAAGGCAGAAAGGAAGAUUUGUUAACAAGACUUGAAGCAUAUGACAGAAAUCAAGAUUUCCGGAAUGAACCUAUUCUCCUACCAGAACCUCAGGAUUCAGACUGGUCCACUGAAGGGUUUCAUCAACUGCAAGCAGACCAUAGGAUCCACUUCCCUAAAUUGGGAAGCAAUAUGAAAAAAACAGCAAUUAAGAAAUUUGAAAAGCAUACAGAAUAUAGUGUCAACAACUGCGGUUUAUUUACAUGUAGAGAAAGUCCAUAUCUGGCUGCAACACCCAGACAAUAGUUGAGGUGAAAUGUCCAUAUGCUGGGAAAGAGGCAAUUAUCCAACCUUGAAAUUUUUUUCCAUACUUGGAUUAUACGGACGAAAAAAUGGAGCUAAAGAACUUCAAACUACUAUUAUCAGAUACAGUGACAGAUGUAUAUAUAUAUUGCUUCUUCGUUGUGUAUACAUUCAAGGAUAUGUUUGUACAAAAAGUUGAACUAGAUCAUGAGUACUGUAACACACCAUUUUACCAAAGCUAGAACUGUUCUACAAAAUGUAUCUGUGGAAAUAUAUAGCUGAACAUUUGUGAAAUAACAUUGAUGAUGAUUAAUGUAGACAUUUGCAGUACAAUAUGAUAUUCAGUCUAUGAAAUGCUAUUAUGCAUUUGAUAAAUAAUUGUUUGUAGUUGAAUUAAAUAUAUAACAGUCCAGCAUCAAUAGUUCAUAUUUCUUGGUAUUUCUGCACAAAACAAUAAUAGUUAUGCAAGUUUACCAAAAAUACAGUUACCGAAAUUAGCUAUGUUGAAGUACACAAAUGUAAUCCUUGAUUAAGUUUUGUUUUUGGCAAGUUCAAGAUCUUAAUAUUUUGAAACAAUAUCGUGUUUACUGGGUUGCCACAGUCUUGUCUUUUUCCCAGGAUCUGCUAUUUUUACCGCUACUCUCCAUAAAUCCUUUAAAUGUUGUUCUUUUGGAAAAUGAAUUCCUCCAUAACCCUUACAUAGUGGUACACAACAAUACUGAACCAUAAUCAAAUUCUUAUUAGUUUCAUCUAUGAACUACUCAAAAAUCCUUUAAAUAAAUGUAUUUAAGUACUUAUUUGACUAUUUUCUAAAAUUUUAUUUUGUUCUGGGUCAAAUACCAAGGAAAUUGCAAAUUAAUUAGUGUUUAGGGUCAAAUACCUAGGAAAUUACAAAUAAAUUAGUGUUUAUUAUGCAGAAUCUCGACUACAUUCUAUAGUAAAUCUAAGGUCAGACAAGAUAAUGUUUACCCUUUAUUUCACCAGCGCCCUCUGUGGAGAUAUCCAGAGGUAACUCUGUUCUUAUUAUCCCCAUUGGUAUGAGGAAGCUGUGAUAUGUACAUGAAUUUUCGUCGGCAUUCAGUUGGUGUUCCGUAAAAUUAUGUCAAAUAGACGACGGAAAACACUUCAAUGCCCACUGUGACCGAAUUCUCAGGCUGCUGCUACAAACGGUCUUCAAUAAUUGACCAGUUAAUAUUUAUAUGAUCACUAAAGUUUUUGUCUUAGAUAAAGGACCAGACCUUUUAAUGCAUGUAGUUUUAAAAAAUAUCUGUUUAUUUCCACAAAUGUUACCUUGUUAGAACUCAAGCAGUGCGUGCUAUGUUCUCUGAAGGUUAUUUGAUAUAAUGCCGUCUUUAUGAAUUGUUAAGUUUGCAAUAUUUGAUUGAUCAAUGCCGUUUCAAAGAUGGAAUUAAUUGCACUUGUACUGAAAGGAUAUCAAUUAAGUGGCAAAGAAAUACUUUUCUAUAGUAAUCAAUACACUCAAUUCAUAAGUCAAAAAUAAUUAAAUUAUUUUAUUCCAGUUUAUUCAAUGCGAAAUGGUUUACUUUGAAACAGGAGUUCAAUCGGAUGUUUUGACAUCUUUGAAAGUACACUGGGUAUGACAUUCUAAUCAAUAUGUAAUACGGUUACGAAAAUGUUGUUGUUGUUCUUUUUUGAUGUUGUUUUUCAAUUAAUAUUUAUUAUUGCGUGGGCAGGUUAUUGUGUCGAUUCUGUUAUGAACGUAAACUUGAUGCGAUUGCGCUUUGUUGUUUCAUAUUAAAGGUCUACAGUCUAAAGGUCUCUGCCACACGGGUUACAAAUAUUGGCACUGUCGCUUUUUCUUUACUGGUGCUGAGAAAAAAAACAGGG